rnacentral:rRNA from 1 species
UACGUAGGGAGCAAGCGUUGUCCGGAAUCAUUGGGCGUAAAGCGCGCGUAGGUGGCCACAUAAGUCCGUUGUGAAAGUCAAAGGCUCAACCUUUGAAAGCCGAUGGAUACUGCGGGGCUAGAGUGCGGAAGGGGCAACUGGAAUUCUCGGUGUAGCGGUGAAAUGCGUAGAUAUCGAGAGGAACACCUGCGGCGAAGGCGGGUUGCUGGGCCGACACUGACGCUGAGGCGCGAAAGCCAGGGGAGCGAACGGG